rnacentral:rRNA from 1 species
UACAGAGGUCUCAAGCGUUGUUCGGAUUCAUUGGGCGUAAAGGGUGCGUAGGCGGCGCGGUAAGUCGGGUGUGAAAUCUCGGGGCUUAACUCCGAAACUGCAUUCGAUACUGCCGUGCUUGAGGACUGGAGAGGAGACUGGAAUUUACGGUGUAGCGGUGAAAUGCGUAGAUAUCGUAAGGAAGACCAGUGGCGAAGGCGAGUCUCUGGGAUGAUGCUGACGCUGAGGCGCGAAAGCCAGGGGAGCAAACGGG